UCCCUUAACACCGGCCUCACACAGAUUAGAGAAAACUCUUCAUUGUACCAUCACCCUCAACGCUUGAAUGGGUUUCAAUUCCCUCCCUGCCCGAUUGAAAUUCCACUCAAUUUUCGCAUUGAAUGCAAUUGAAGAUUGAAUCUCAUUUAACCCUUACAAGAAACUGAAGAAGUUAAGACGUUCCUUUUAUUUACUCAUCGUCACCACCGUCACCGUUUACUUCAUCAACGGCAACAGUUACGAUCACCAAAUCUGUUGUUCCCCAAAUUCUCAUACCCAAAGACAAAAUCUGGCAUGAAAGGUGUCCUUGCAAAUGGUCAGAAUGUUGUGAACAAGCACAUUAUCAACGGUGGUGAAAAGAUAUAGUCAGAACAUGAAUCCAAUGUCUUUAAAUCGGCUAUCGAUUGUGCUCAGUGACUAUGGUUUCUUCACACGUACCCUGGAGGAUGCAGAGUUCAUCAUGAUUAAAGAUGACGAAUAUCUCCUAAUUAUGAACUUUCAAGCGAAGCCGGCCGACAAGGAUAAGCAUAAUGUCUAAGAAAGCAGCAGCUGUGAAAUACACAAUUUGACUUGGACCUAAUCUAAAAGGAUGGGAGGCUUCAAUCAUAUAUAAAAUCCGAGUCGAUCCCAGAAACCAAUGAUGAACCGGUGAAGGUGGUGGUUACCAACAACUUAAAGACAUGGUUUUGGACUCUAAAAAGAAUGAGAUCUAUGCAUCAUGGUGUGGACACUGCAAAUAACUAGCCGCAAUCUUAGAAGAAGUGGCUUUCUAAUUCGAGUAUGAUCCAGGUGUUAAUCAUCGCAAAACUCAAUAAAGACAUGUGGUGAGAGAGUAUGGGCAAUUGGGACACGAACUAAGCAUAUAUAUCGAGUAUGGUCGACGGAUCAAGAUUGGCCUGGACUUGCAAUGUCACGAGCUUUCGGGGAUUUUUGUUUGAAAGACUAUGGACUUAUAUCCGUUCUGAAUGUAUAUUAUCAUAAACUUACAGACCAACAUGAAUUUAUGGUCUUAGCAACUAAUGGAGUGUGGGAUGUGCUUAAAAAUGAUGAGGUGCUAAAGAUUAAUGGGUCAAUGAACAACAGAUCAAUGGCAGCAAGAUCUGUAGUUGAUCAUGCAGUGAAAGCUUAAUUGGAGACACAUGUACCCAGCUUCAAAAAUCGAUGAUUGCACGAUUCUAUUAUCUUUCAAGAAGCGACUGUGUUUAGCCAACUCGGCCCGGAAGAGA